rnacentral:rRNA from 1 species
AACGAACGCUGGCGGCAUGCCUAACACAUGCAAGUCGAACGCCCUGGGCAACCAGGGAGUGGCGGACGGGUGAGUAACGCGUGGGGACCUGCCUCGAAGUUCGGAAUAACCGCGGGAAACUGCGGCUAAUACCGGAUGUGGCCUGAGGGCCAAAGGGGAAACUCGCUUCGAGAGGGGCCCGCGUCCGAUUAGCUAGUUGGCGGGGUAACGGCCCACCAAGGCGACGAUCGGUAGCUGGUCUGAGAGGAUGAUCAGCCACACUGGGACUGAGACACGGCCAGACUCCUACGGGAGGCAGCAGUGGGGAAUAUUGGACAAUGGGGGCAACCCUGAUCCAGCAAUGCCGCGUGAGUGAUGAAGGCCUUCGGGUUGUAAAGCUCUUUUGGCGGGGACGAUGAUGACGGUACCCGCAGAAUAAGCCCCGGCUAACUUCGUGCCAGCCGCCGCAGUAAAAC